rnacentral:rRNA from 1 species
GACGAACGCUGGCGGCGUGCUUAACACAUGCAAGUCGAUAGGUGAAGCUCCAGCUUGCUGGAGUGGAUCAGUGGCGAACGGGUGAGUAACACGUGAGCAACCUGCCCCUGACUCUGGAAUAAGCGCUGGAAACGGCGUCUAAUACUGGAUACGAGAAGGGUCCGCAUGGGCACUUUCUGGAAAGUUUUUCGGUUGGGGAUGGGCUCGCGGCCUAUCAGCUUGUUGGUGAGGUAAUGGCUCACCAAGGCGACGACGGGUAGCCGGCCUGAGAGGGCGACCGGCCACACUGGGACUGAGACACGGCCUAGACUCCUACGGGAGGCAGCAGUGGGGAAUAUUGCACAAUGGGCGAAAGCCUGAUGCAGCGACGCCGCGUGAGGGAUGACGGCCUUCGGGUUGUAAACCUCUUUCAGCAGGGAAGAAGCGAAAGUGACGGUACCUGCAGAAGAAGCACCGGCUAACUACGUG